UUCUCUCUCCCUCUCCCAACAUGGCGGCCUCAGCAAAAAUGAAGAAUAGGAAGGGGAAGACUAUCUCCCUAACAGACCUCCUGGCUGAGGAUGGAGGGACUGCUGGAGGAAGCACCUAUGUCCCCAAACCAGUCAGCUGGGCUGAUGAAACAGAUGACCUAGAAGGAGAUGUUUCAAUCACUUGGCAUAGUAAUGAUGAUGAUGUGCACGGGGCACCUCCAGUCGACCAUUCCAUCCUGCCCACUGCUCCACGGGCUGCUCGGGAAUCCAAUAUCCACUGGAGCUGUCUUCCCAAAUCGCCACCCUACCCUGCUUUUCUAGGGAACCUGCCCUGUGAUAUGAUAGAAGACUCCAUUAAGGGAUUCUUUAGAAUUCCUUCAGAGGUUUAAAUAUGAGCGCAGUGCGUUUAUAAUGUGAACCCAGCAAUCCUGAGAGGUUGAAAGGUUUUGGUAACGCUGAGUUUGAGGACCUGGAUUCCUUGCUCAAUGCCCCGAGCCUCAGUGAAGAGUCUCUAGGUAACAGGAGAAUUCGAGUGGACGUUGCUGAUCAAGCACAGGAUAAAGACAGGAUGAUCGUUCUUUUGGCAGAGAUAGAAAUCGGGAUUCUGACAAAACAGAUACAGACUGGAGGGCACGUCCUGCUACAGACAGCUUUGAUGACUACCCACCUAGAAGAGGUGAUGAUAGCUUUGCAGACAAGUAUGGAGAUCGUUAUGAUUCAGGCCGAUAUCGUGAUGGGUAUCGGGACAGUUACCGUGAUGGCCCACGCCGGGACACGGAUCGCUACGGGGGCCGAGAUCGCUAUGAUGACCGAGGCAGCAGAGACUAUGAUAGAGGCUACUAUUCCAGGAUAGGCAGUGGCAGAAGAGCAUUUGGUAGUGGGUACCGUAGGGAUGACCACUACAGAGGAGGCGGGGACCCUAUGAAGACAGAUAUGAUGACAAGAUGACCGGUCAUGGAGCUCCAAAGAUGAUUACUCUCGGGGUGAUUAUAGGCGUGACGAUAGAGGUCCCCCGCAAAGACCCAAACUGAACCUAAAGCCCCGGAGUACUCCUAAGGAAGAUGAUCCCUCUGCUAGCACCUCCCAGUCCAGUCAAGCAGCCUCUAUCUUUGGAGGAGCAAAGCCUGUUGACACAGCUGCUAGAGAACGAGAAGUAGAAGAGCGGCUACAGGAGGAACAGGAGAAACUGCAGCGUCAGCUGGAUGAGCCAAAACUAGAACGACAGCCUCGGGAGAGACACCCAAGCUGGCGAAGUGAAGAAACUCAGGAACGGGAACGGCCGAGGGCAGGAAAUGAGUCAUCACAGACUGGGACCUCAGCCACAUCUGGAAGAAGUAAGUCAGACCAGGAUGCACAAAGGAGAGAGAGUGAGAAGCCGCUAGAAUAUGAAACACCCAAUAAAGAGGAAGACUGUCAGUCUCCAGCUUCUAAGCCUCCCAAACCUGAACAGCCUCUAAAGGUAAUGCCAACCCCUCCACCAAAGGAGAAUGCUUGUGUGAAACGAAGUUCUAACCCUCCUGAUCGAUCUCAGAGCUCAGACACAGAGCAGCAGUCCCGUACAAGUGGUGGAGGGAAAGUAGCUUCAGCUCAACCAUCUGAGGAAGGACCAGUAAGGAAAGCAGAUGAAAAUAAAGUAGAUGGGGUGAGUGCCCCAAAAAGCCAAAGUGGAAAUUCCAGCCAUGGUCCAGGAUAUGGAGGGAACAAAGACCACUGGAAGGAGGCAGACAGGAAAGAUGGCAAAAAGCAUCAAGACUCCAGGUCUGCACCUGAGCCAAAGAAAGCUGAAGAAAAUCCAGCCUCUAAAUUCAGUUCUGCAAGCAAGUAUGCUGCUCUUGGCAUUGAUGGUGAAGGUGAAAAUGAGGGAGAAGAUUACACCAAAUAGACCUCUGCAUUCUGUGCUUUCUCCUAGUCUCUCACCACCCUGGAACAUUCGAGAGCAAAUCAAAUCUCUAUCCAGACAAGACAAAAUAAAACUCACCAUCU